rnacentral:rRNA from 1 species
UACAGAGGGCGCGAGCGUUGUCCGGAAUCACUGGGCGUAAAGGGCGCGUAGGUGGCCACCAUAAGGCCGCGGUGAAAGUCUGGGGCUCAACCCCGGAUCGGCCGCGGCGACUGUGGGGCUUGGGCACUGUAGAGGCAGGCGGAAUUCCGGGUGUAGCGGUGGAAUGCGUAGAGAUCCGGAAGAACACCGGUGGCGAAGGCGGCCUGCUGGGCAGUUGCUGACACUGAGGCGCGACAGCGCGGGGAGCAAACAGG